AGAGCGAACGCUGGCGGCAGGCCUAACACAUGCAAGUCGAGCGCCCGUAGCAAUACGGGAGCGGCAGACGGGAUAGUAACACGUGGGAACGCGCCCUUCGGUUCGGAAUAACUCAGGGAAACUUGAGCUAAUACCGAAUACGCCCUUACGGGGAAAGAUUUAUUGCCGAAGGAACGGCCCGCGUCCGAUUAGCUAGUUGGUGAGGUAAUGGCUCACCAAGGCUACGAUCGGUAGCUGGUCUGAGAGGAUGACCAGCAUCACUGGGACUGAGACACGGCCCAGACUCCUACGGGAGGCAGCAGUGGGGAAUAUUGGACAAUGGGCGAAAGCCUGAUCCAGCCAUGCCGCGUGGAUGAUGAAGGCCUUAGGGUUGUAAAGUCCUUUUAACGGGGAAGAUAAUGACGGUACCGUAGAAUAAGCCCGGCUAACUUCGCGCCAGCAGCCGC
rnacentral:rRNA from 1 species